rnacentral:rRNA from 1 species
GACGAACGCUGGCGGCGUGCUUAACACAUGCAAGUCGAACGGAAAGGCCCCUUUGGGGGUACUCGAGUGGCGAACGGGUGAGUAACACGUGAGUAACCUGCCCUUGACUUCGGGAUAACUUCAGGAAACUGGGGCUAAUACCGGAUAGGAAUCCUUGCUGCAUGGUGGGGGUUGGAAAGCUUCGGCGGUUUUGGAUGGACUCGCGGCUUAUCAGCUUGUUGGUGGGGUAGUGGCUUACCAAGGCUUUGACGGGUAGCCGGCCUGAGAGGGCGACCGGACACAUUGGGACUGAGAUACGGCCCAGACUCCUACGGGAGGCAGCAGUGGGGAAUAUUGCACAAUGGGCGGAAGCCUGAUGCAGCAACGCCGCGUGCGGGAUGACGGCCUUCGGGUUGUAAACCGCUUUCAGCAGGGGCGAAGCUUGUGGUGACGGUACCUGCAGAAGAAGCACCGGCUAACUACGUG